rnacentral:rRNA from 1 species
AGCUCCAAUAGCGUAUAUUAAAGUUGCUGCAGUUAAAAAGCUCGUAGUUGGAUCUUGGGAGCGGGCGGGCGGUCCGCCGCGAGGCGAGCCACCGCCCGUCCCCGCCCCUUGCCUCUCGGCGCCCCCUCGAUGCUCUUAGCUGAGUGUCCCGCGGGGCCCGAAGCGUUUACUUUGAAAAAAUUAGAGUGUUCAAAGCAGGCCCGAGCCGCCUGGAUACCGCAGCUAGGAAUAAUGGAAUAGGACCGCGGUUCUAUUUUGUUGGUUUUCGGAACUGAGGCCAUGAUUAAGAGGGACGGCCGGGGGCAUUCGUAUUGCGCCGCUAGAGGUGAAAUUCUUGGACCGGCGCAAGACGGACCAGAGCGAAAGCAUUUGCCAAGAAUGUUUUCAUUA